ACUCAUUUUACAAAAAUAAUUCAACUAUGAUUUUUUAUUUUCAUCAUAUAUAAUUUUAAUUUCAACUCUCUAACAAAGAUUUUCUCUCUCUAGCUUAUAAGCUCAAUUAUCCGAACACAUUAACAAUUUAUAAGCUCUUAAAAAACUACAUCUUAUGUCCCCAAGGGGACACCAAGCGAUGCGAACUCCUGUCUACGAACAGUCGAGGUCCAGGAUUCAAACCCCACCGCUCUCCC
rnacentral:lncRNA from 1 species